rnacentral:rRNA from 1 species
UACGAAGGGGGCUAGCGUUGUUCGGAUUUACUGGGCGUAAAGCGCACGUAGGCGGAUCGUUAAGUCGGGGGUGAAAUCCUGGAGCUCAACUCCAGAACUGCCUUCGAUACUGGCGAUCUUGAGUCCGGAAGAGGUGAGUGGAACUCCUAGUGUAGAGGUGGAAUUCGUAGAUAUUAGGAAGAACACCGAUGGCGAAGGCAGGUCUCUGGGCCACUACUGACGCUGAGAAGCGAAAGCAUGGGGAGCGAACAGG